rnacentral:tRNA from 1 species
UGCGGGAUCGUCCAACGGUAAGACAUCGCCCUCUGGAGGCGAGUAUCCUGGUUCGAAUCCAGGUCCCGCAA